UGCGGGAUCGUCUAAUGGUAGGACAACAGAUUCUGGAUCUGUUUAUCUUGGUUCGAAUCCAAGUCCCGCAG
rnacentral:tRNA from 3 species